rnacentral:lncRNA from 1 species
GAGUGAUUGAUGAGCUAUGGAGCUUUCUGUGUUGGCCGUUUGAAAUGGUCAUUGAUGUGGAAUGGAACUCUAGAGUUUUGUUCCAUUGUGAGGGCUAUAUUUUAGCUCAUUGUUUGAGUAGUUUUUCGUUUGUAGGACACAGCAUUCUGCUUACUAUUACAUAAUCAUACUUAUUUGAAAAGAAAGUCGUGAAAAUGAGAAGCAGUGGUAAUGUUUACCUUGAUUUUUAUUGAUGAAGCGGAUUAAUCUCUUUGACUUGUUCAUAAAUUCUCAUCUUGUUACGUUUUUUAAUCGUAUUUUUCUGGUGCAGAGCUCGUAUCUGGCGUCUUUCGUGCGUUGAAACUCUGUCAAUAUCUACAUCUUAAUUUACGAUUUGUUUUUGGUGAAGUUCGUUACAUCUGCAUGGCUGAAAGAAGGUUGAGAUAAAUAUAAUCUGCUAUCGGCAGCUAGAGAGGCCGUGGUAAUGCUGGGGCAAAACUUUGAAGGUGAUACAAAACGUUGCAGCCGCAUGACCUUUUGAGAUUAACAAAGUUAUUCAUGAAGCAGACAAAUAGGACUCUAUAAUGGGCAACGUCUAUCACUGAUGAGUAUCAAACUAUAGCAACUAUGAAAGGUGGAAUGCAACACUUGCCAUUGCAAACCUCUGAAAGAGCAUCUUUCUGCGGCGACCCGGCAAUUGCUAAUGCACUGGAGCUAGCCAACACAUCGCCAGCACGGAUUGGAACAAGAGCACCUUCUGCACGUGAGUAUGAUGAAGAGUAUGUUGUUGUCGACCUGG